ACAGCUCUCGACAGAUGCUGCUGCCUCCCUUGACCUCAGGAAGGAUUGUGCAUAAAUGUGAUCCAACAAGGAUGGGUCUUCACUGUCACCCUCCUCCGGAAAUUCUGAACCUGCUCACCCAGAGGCACACGACCACUUCUGUUUGCACCCAGAAGACCACCCAUGUUGGGAAGGCAGAUGACACAGACUACGCUGAACAAGGCUGCGGGUGUCCUCAAGAACAAUAUGGGGGCAUCAAGGAUCCGGCCAGCUGCGAUCCAGUCUGUAGGAACAAUCCAGGGGUGUCACCGUUCCUGAUGAGAAAGAAUGUGUAACCUGAAAAGGACUGCCAAUGUCGAGUCUUAUGAAGAUGUGGACAACCUGAAUUCUUAGACAUUUCUGAUGGAAGUACAAAUUUCUUCAAUCACUUUGGAAAAUGAUCGGGCAAUAUCUACUUAAAACCUGAAG